rnacentral:rRNA from 1 species
GAGUUUGAUCCUGGCUCAGGACGAACGCUAGCGGGAGGCCUAAUACAUGCAAGUUGAACGUGCUGCGAAAGCAGUAACGUAGCGGACGGGUGCGUAGCGCGUAUGGAACCUACCUAUUAGAGGGGGAUAUACUAGGGAAACUUAGGGUAAUACCGCAUAAUAUUUAAGGACCGCAUGGUUUUUAAAAGAAAGGCUACGUGUCGCUAAUAGAUGGUCAUGCGUCCCAUUAGCUAGUUGGUAGUGGUAACGGCCUACCAAGGCGACGAUGGGUAACUGGUCUGAGAGGAUGAUCAGUCACACUGGAACUGAGACACGGUCCAGACUCCUACGGGAGGCAGCAGUAGGGAAUAUUGGGCAAUGGGCGGAAGCCUGACCCAGCCAUCCCGCGUGCAGGAAGAAGGUUCUCUGAAUUGUAAACUGCUUUUUUAUCUGACUAAGGUAGUAUAUAGGAUAUGCUAAUUGCAGGUGAGAUAAGAAUAAGCACCGGCUAACUACGUGCCAGCAGCCGCGGUAAUACGUAGGGUGCAAGCGUUGUCCGGAAUUACUGGGUUUAAAGGGUGCGUAGGCGGGCUAUUAAGUGUAAUGUUAAAAGUAUGAGCUUAACUGAUAGCAGGCGUUACAUACUGGUAGUCUAGAAUGAUGGUGAGGCUACUGGAACGAGUGGAGUAGAGGUGAAAUUCGUAGAUAUCACUCAGAACACCGAUUGCGAAAGGCAGGUAGCUAACCAUUGAUUGACGCUGAUGCACGAAAGCGUGGGGAUCAAACAGGAUUAGAUACCCUGGUAGUCCACGCUGUAAACGUUGGUUACUAGACGUUCGGUAGAUAGGUACUGAGUGUUUAAGCGCAAGCGANAGUAACCCACCUGGGGG